rnacentral:misc_RNA from 1 species
UUUUUUUAAAUAAUUU